GUUUCAGCCGCCGCGGUAAUACGUAGGUGUCGAGCGUUAUUCGGAUUUACUGGGCGUAAAGCGCACCGAGGUGGCUUCUUAAGUUGGAUGUGAAAUCUCCUGGCUUAACUGGGAGACGCCAUUCAAGACUGGGAGGCUUGAGGUCAGCAGGGGAAAGUGGAAUUCCCGGUGUAGUGGUGGAAUGCGUAGAGAUCGGGAGGAACACCAGUGGCGAAAGCGACUUUCUGGGCUGCACCUGACACUCUAGUGCGAAAGCGUGGGGAGCAAACAGGAUUAGAUACCCUAGUAGUCC
rnacentral:rRNA from 1 species